rnacentral:rRNA from 1 species
AUUGAACGCUGGCGGCAUGCUUUACACAUGCAAGUCGAACGGCAGCGCGGGGCAACCUGGCGGCGAGUGGCGAACGGGUGAGUAAUAUAUCGGAACGUACCCAGAAGUGGGGGAUAACGUAGCGAAAGUUACGCUAAUACCGCAUACGAUCUACGGAUGAAAGUGGGGGACCUUCGGGCCUCAUGCUUUUGGAGCGGCCGAUAUCUGAUUAGCUAGUUGGUGAGGUAAAGGCUCACCAAGGCGACGAUCAGUAGCUGGUCUGAGAGGACGACCAGCCACACUGGGACUGCAAGACGGGCCAGACUCCUACGGGAGGCAGCAGUGGGGAAUUUUGGACAAUGGGCGCAAGCCUGAUCCAGCAAUGCCGCGUGAGUGAAGAAGGCCUUCGGGUUGUAAAGCUCUUUUGUCAGGGAAGAAACGGCCGAGGAUAAUACCUUCGGCUAAUGACGGUACCUGAAGAAUAAGCACCGGCUAACUACGUGCCAGCCGCCGCAGUAA